GAGGCAGAGCAGGGGAGACAGGCCCGCGUGGGUGGUGGGGCAGCCCCCAGCCCUCUCUUGCCGGAUGGAAGCGAAAGUGACCCGGGGUCAGCAGUGCGCGGGAGCAGGGAGCCCCGGCAAGCCUUGAACGGAAGACGAUCCUGGAUGGGGCGCAGGGAGUAUUCAGGACAGGCUUCCUGGAGGAGGUGACAUCUGAACCCUGAGAGGUGAAUGGAUGGUGGCCUUAAGUGGAGUUAGAGUCCAGAGGGCAGACCCAGGUGGAGGAUGCUGUACUAUCUGAAGAUGAAGAAAGGGGCCAUGAGCCAAGGAACGCAGAUACUUCUAGAAGCCGGAAACACCUUCUCCCCAGGAGCUUCCAGGAGGAAAAUGUGACCCUGUGGACACCUGGAUUUCAGCCCAGUGAGACCCGUUUUGGACUUCUGACCUCCAGAACUGUCAGAUAACUGUGUGUUCUUUUAAGCCACCAAGUGAGUGCUGACUUGUUACGGCAGCGAUAGGAGACUCAGACCCCCAACCUCCCGCCCAGAGUCCUGCUUGUGCUCUCAGAACCACCCCCCCCCACACACACACAUCUGGACUCAGUUUCCAGAUCAGCAGUCUGGGGCCCCAUCCAGGUCAGACCCACAACCCCUGCAGCACGCACCCAUCACCCACCCCUCCAGACCUCUGGGCGGGGCUGCUACUCCCUUGUUCCAGCAGGGUGGGGACUGAAAUCCCACAAGUCUGUCUGUCACUGCCUCUCUGUGCCCUGCAGUGCCCAACUCACGCCAGGCCUGCUGUCCCAGGCCUCUCUGUGUCUGGCUGUCCUCCCUGGCCUAGCCUUUGCCAAACAAGACCUCUGUCCUCAGUGGGGGGCUCCUCUCCCCAAAGGCAGGAGCCCCCAGUUCAGACAGUCCUGGGCUCACGUUUGUGCUGUGUGAACUCGGGUGUGUGACACGGCCUCUCUGAGCCCCAAGGUGUCCUCAUCUGUAGAAUGGAAGAGAACCAGGCCAUCUGGGGGACAGAUAGGUGGAGGGACCCCUGCCUCCAUGCUGUUUCAUCCAAGUGGCCUGAGUCAGGGCUGGGGAGGGCUGGGAUGGGUCGGAUGGGGUGGGUGGAGAAGCCUUUAUGCUGUCUGUUCCUCCUGCCUGGAACGCUUUUCCUUCUUCUUGCCAGUCCGCGUGGCCCCCUCCCGCCAUCCCUUGGGCCUUUAGUCAGGGGUUCACGCUGUCCACCCAUCCUGCCCCCCCCCCCGCCUGCCACCACCCCCCCCACCAGCUGUAUCUCCCCAGCCCUCCUCCCUCUCGGUUCCUUUUUUAUCCUGUGCCUGACAGCCUCCUCCUGGAAAAUGUCCACCCCUCAAGGCUGGGGGGCAGGGGGGGUGUCCCAUCUUGAUCCCCCAGUGACCCUAACGCUGAAACAGGGCCCGGUACCCAGUGGGUGUUUCACAGAUGUUCCUUAAGGGCAGAGAGGAUGGGGCGAGGCAAGGUGGGAAAUGAAGUUUUCCAAGAAGGGCUCUGAAGAGGGCCUACUGGGUACGUCUGUGAGUUGGCCUGCCUUCUUGUCCGUGUGUCUCCAGGUCCCUCUGGGUCUCUGUGUUUCUGUGUGUGUGUGUGUGUGUGUGUGUGUGUCUGCAGGGGUGUCUCUGUGUUUCUGGGGUGUCUGUACGUGAGCGUCUGACUGGACGCACACAGCUUCAACUUCUCCGGCCACGGUGGGGGGUGGGGGGUGGGAGGGGGGAUACUGAGCUGUUCUCCCUGGAGCGACUCUGCCUCCUUCCAUCCUGCUGCUGCCUCCCCAAGGGCCCCGCCAGCUUCCCAGUGUCGGCGGGAUAACCCACUUGAGUUGGUGACGCCUGCCUGCCAGCCUGAGGUUCCCAGCAGCCGGGCAGGGAACAGCAUGACGAGGCUCCCGUGCUGGGAGCUUUAUAGAGACGAACAUACCCACCCCUGUCUGUGGAGCAAGUGCAUUAAAAAUUCCCAUUUCAGGGGCGCCUGGGUGGCUCAGUCGGUUAAACGUUCGACUUCUG